AAGACUGUAUAGAGGAAAACAAAACUGCAAAAACAAAAAUAAAAAAAACAUCGCACAAGAAAAUAAAAGAUUUGUAGAAUCAACUAAGAAAAUGGCUAGCACUAUGAUGACUACAUUGCCUCAGUUCAAUGGUCUUCGAGCCACCAAAAUCUCUGCAGCUCCUGUACAAGGCCUGGUUAGUACUUUUCAGUUUUCUUAGAUUCUCAAAAUGUGAUUUGAUCUUCUAUAAUCUUUUGGGGUCAAUUUUUUCCUGGAUUUUAUAUGUUUUAGUGGCAGAUUUAUUGGAGAUU
rnacentral:sRNA from 1 species